rnacentral:rRNA from 1 species
CCUACGGGAGGCAGCAGUGAGGAAUAUUGGUCAAUGGGCGCGAGUCUGAACCAGCCAAGUAGCGUGAAGGAUGACGGCCCUACGGGUUGUAAACUUCUUUUGUAAGGGAGUAAAGUGAGGCACGCGUGCCUUUUUGUAUGUACCUUAUGAAUAAGGAUCGGCUAACUCCGUGCCAGCAGCCGCGGUAAUACGGAGGAUUCGAGCGUUAUCCGGAUUUAUUGGGUUUAAAGGGUGCGUAGGCGGGUGGUUAAGUCAGUGGUGAAAGUUUGCGGCUCAACCGUGAAAUUGCAAUUGAUACUGGCAGCCUAGAGUACAGUUGAGGUAGGCGGAAUGCAUGGUGUAGCGGUGAAAUGCUUAGAGAUCACGAAGAACACCGAUUGCGAAGGCAGCCUACUAAGCUGCCACUGACGUUGAGGCACGAAAGUGUGGGGAGCAAACAGGAUUAGAUACCCGUGUAGUC